UACGGAAGGCAGCAGUGGGGAAUAUUGCACAAUGGGCGCAAGCCUGAUGCAGCCAUGCCGCGUGUAUGAAAAAGGCCUUCGGGUUGUAAAGUACUUUCAGUCGUGAGGAAGGUGUUAAGGUUAAUAACCUUAGCAAUUGACGUUAGCGACAGAAGAAGCACCGGCUAACUCCGUGCCAGCAGCCGCGGUAAUACGGAGGGUGCGAGCGUUAAUCGGAAUUACUGGGCGUAAAGGGCACGCAGGCGGUUAAUUAAGUUGGAUGUGAAAUCCCCGGGCUUAACCUGGGAAUGGCAUUCAAGACUGGUUAGCUAGAGUCUUGUAGAGGGGGUUAGAAUUCCAUGUGUAGCGGUGAAAUGCGUAGAGAUGUGGAGGAAUACCGGUGGCGAAGGCGGCCCCUGGACAAAGACUGACGCUCAUGUGCGAAAGCGUGGGGAGCAAACGAGGGAUUAGAUACC
rnacentral:rRNA from 1 species